rnacentral:lncRNA from 1 species
UUGCCUUUCCAAACACACAGUUAUAAUUCUAGUCUGCCUGAGGCAUCCAUCGCUCUGAAGGGAAAUCAGGGUCUGCUGCAGAAGGGAUACAAAGAAUAAGACCCAGGUGAUGUUCAGCUUUUGACAUUGAAAAUUCAGCUUUUGCCUAGCCCUGAGUCCUGAAGAGUUUCUCCUAUAUAGUUUUCUAAUAAUUUUUGUCUAAAGUUUUUGUCUAAAAAAUCAGCUGACAAUCCCUAACAAUCAGUUGUUUGCCAGGUGAUUAGCUGCCUCUCUACCUUCCUCGUGGUCCGAUAAACUGCAGGAACGUAUGGAAUCAUUCACACUUAGCUUGUGCUGGGCCAGGCCGCGCAUGUCACCUUGAGUUUCGCUGGCCGCUGACAAGACCUCAAGCUGCCAAGAGCUGCCGCACUAUCCUUCCCCGGCUCCCAUUUUAAUGGAAGGGGUCGCUGGCAGGGCCAGGAGAUUAAGAGCAUGCCCCUUAUUCAGCUUUAUCUCAGCAAGUAUUCAUAGUUUUAGAGUUGCAAGGGACCUUCUCAAAGGGAACAGGCUAAAACCAAGGAAUGUUCAGUGAUUUUUUUCCAAUUUACAGAAUCUUCAGCUUCUGACUCCCAGGCUGAGCUCUUUUCAUUGUCCCCACAAAGCACCAGCCAGUGGACUACUGGUCACUCCUCCUGGCCUGCCGCAGCCUCUGUCCCAUAACAGGGAGCAAACAGCUGUGGCGGCUCAGAGAAUCCGCCAGGUCGUAGCAAUUUAAUCCAGUGCUCUCAUGGGGAUCUGCUGUGAGCAUCUCAUGCAGGGGCUCCGAGCUGCCAGCUUUCCCUCCGAGCUGCCUUCAGCGUCCUGUCCUCGCCCUCACAGCCUGGGAGUUCUGGAGGCUGGAAGUUUGAGAUCAGGGUGCCAGCAUGGACAAAUUCUGGUGGGAACUCCUUUCUGAGCUGAAGACUGAUAACUUAUUGACACUCUUAAAAGAAUGAGAAGUCAAGGGGCUGGCCCCGUGGCCGAGUGGUUAAGUUUGCGUGCUCCUCUGCAGGCGGCCCAGUGUUUCGUGGGUUCGAAUCCUGGGCAUGGACAUGGCACUGCUCAUCAAACCACGCUGAGGCAGCGUCCCUCAUGCCACAACUAGAAGGACCCACAAAGAAGAAUAUACAACUAUGUACCGGGGGGCUUUGGGGAGGAAAUGGAAAAAAAUAAAAUCUUUGGAAAAAAAAAAGAA